rnacentral:rRNA from 1 species
ACGAACGCUGGCGGCGUGCCUAAUACAUGCAAGUCGAACGCUGAAGGAGGAGCUUGCUUCUCUGGAUGAGUUGCGAACGGGUGAGUAACGCGUAGGUAACCUGCCUGGUAGCGGGGGAUAACUAUUGGAAACGAUAGCUAAUACCGCAUAAGAGUAGAUGUUGCAUGACAUUUGCUUAAAAGGUGCAAUUGCAUCACUACCAGAUGGACCUGCGUUGUAUUAGCUAGUUGGUGGGGUAACGGCUCACCAAGGCGACGAUACAUAGCCGACCUGAGAGGGUGAUCGGCCACACUGGGACUGAGACACGGCCCAGACUCCUACGGGAGGCAGCAGUAGGGAAUCUUCGGCAAUGGACGGAAGUCUGACCGAGCAACGCCGCGUGAGUGAAGAAGGGUUUCGGAUCGUAAAGCUCUGUUGUAAGAGAAGAACGAGUGUGAGAGUGGAAAGUUCACACUGUGACGGUAUCUUACCAGAAAGGGACGGCUAACUACGUG